CUCUAUUAUUGAGCAUGGCCCCCGUGCCAGGCACUGACUGAUACCUGCCCCUGUCCUGAGAGAGAGGACUGAGAGUCAGCAACAGCCUCAAACUAGAGCUGCAAGACUCACGGUCUAGAACUUUGCCUACUCUCUCAUUGCUCUUACCCAGAUUUUGGAUGUCACAUUUGCUAUGCCACUCAAUCCUGGUCUGGCUGUGGAAAGUAGCAUGUAAGUCCCCAGGAGUCUUGGCAUCAUGGGGGCAGGAUGUAUGAUUAAAAGAAUGCUGUAAGGAGAUCUGUCUGGCGGCAGUGGGAAAUACAUUGGACCCAGUUGAUUGCUUGAGACGUCUUGUCCAGUGUUAUCUAGGAACCAGCUCCUUCUUUGAAGGAUGGCUGGGCAGGGUGACAACAGUGGUCUGAGAUCCAGAGAGAGAGUAAACCAUCCACACCACAGAAAGCUCAAAUCUAUUACCUUGGACUCAUUAGCCUGGUGUUCUAAACAACUCAGGUGUUUUUCAAACUGCUGUUUUUUGCUGGGUCUCAGGUCAACCAAGAAGACAUGCAAACCCUCCAAGAGGAAUCUCAGUUUGUUAUAGCACUUUGGGAUGCCCAGACAUUAGUCCCAUUGGUUAUCCAAACCAGAUGUUCUGGAGCUCAUCUUUCUGAUGUCUGGUCCACCACAGAGAGCUCUUACAAGUUAGCUGGACAGAAAACUGAAGGGAAUGGAAGGGCAGGACCUCAAGCUACUCAAACCAGCGCAACGCACAGAUGUGGACCUUCUCUACCUUUCCCUCACCAGAAUGUCAGCUGUCCCUGGGGGAACUCUGCCUUUUCUCCGCUCAGAGAUGAGUUCUGCCUUCUUUAUUAAAACAUCUCCUUGCUAGCGUAGCCCCUAUAAAUUCUUUACAAAAGUCCUUUGCUCGGGUACUUUCAGAGAUAACAUCAAAUAUUUUCAACCUCAGCGCAAUCACUGGUCCAACUUUUCGACAAUUUAAGGAAAAAUAUCUGCAUUUUCUGUGUAUGUUUAUACUAAAUUUGCUGUCUUGCUUAAUGUUCUGGAACUGGAUCCAUAUCUGUUUGCCCCAGAGUCAAGUGCUCUCCUGUUAGCAGAUAAUCUAAAAAUAGUUAUUAAUAAAAGUAUUGAGUAGCUAUCAUAUUAAAAAAUCUUCUUGUCAUUUUACCUAGUACCUCAUUUGACUGAUCGAUUUAUCAUUGUUCUUUUUUAAAUCAGAGAAAACAUAAAACUUCCUAAUGUUCGGCUCAAGUUUUCAUUUGUAAUACUGGUUCAAAUGAGUGAGAAAAUUUCCAGAAUGAUUCUUCUUUAUACUUGACUGUUUGUACUUGACAAACAAGUCAACUGUAUAUU